ACGGGUGAGUAACGCGUGGGUAACCUACCCUGUACACACGGAUAACAUACCGAAAGGUAUGCUAAUACGGGAUAAUAUAUUUGAGAGGCAUCUCUUAAAUAUCAAAGGUGAGCCAGUACAGGAUGGACCCGCGUCUGAUUAGCUAGUUGGUAAGGUAACGGCUUACCAAGGCGACGAUCAGUAGCCGACCUGAGAGGGUGAUCGGCCACAUUGGAACUGAGACACGGUCCAAACUCCUACGGGAGGCAGCAGUGGGGAAUAUUGCACAAUGGGCGAAAGCCUGAUGCAACAACGCCGCGUGAGUGAUGAAGGCCUUCGGGUCGUAAAACUCUGUCCUCAAGGAAGAUAAUGACGGUACUUGAGGAGGAAGCCCCGGCUAACUACGUGCCGGCAGCCGCGGUAAUACGUAGGGGGCUAGCGUUAUCCGGAUUUACUGGGCGUAAAGGGUGCGUAGGCGGUCUUUCAAGUCAGGAGUGAAAGGCUACGGCUCAACCGUAGUAAGCUCUUGAAACUGGGAGACUUGAGUGCAGGAGAGGAGAGUGGAAUUCCUAGUGUAGCGGUGAAAUGCGUAGAUAUUAGGAGGAACACCAGUUGCGAAGGCGGCUCUCUGGACUGUAACUGACGCUGAGGCACGAAAGCGUGGGGAGCAAACAGGAUUAGAUACCCUGGUAGUCCACGCUGUAAACGAUGAGUACUAGGUGUCGGGGGUUACCCCCUUCGGUGCCGCAGCUAACG
rnacentral:rRNA from 1 species